rnacentral:rRNA from 1 species
GACGAACCGUGCGAACGUUAUUCGGAAUCACUGGGCUUAAAGCGCGUGUAGGCGGGCCGCCACGUCGGCUGCUGAAAUCCCCCGGCUCAACCGGGGAAGUGGCACCGAUACGAGUGGCCUCGAGGGGGGUAGGGGGGUCUGGAACUUCCGGUGGAGCGGUGAAAUGCGUUGAGAUCGGAAGGAACGCCCGUGGCGAAAGCGAGGCCCUGGACCCUUACUGACGCUGAGACGCGAAAGCCAGGGGAGCGAACGGG